rnacentral:misc_RNA from 1 species
AAUGUUACUGUCUGCGAUAUUAGUAAUAGAUUUAGAGAGAGAAGUGUAAAAAUUUGUGAAGAUGGUAUAUCUAAUCAUAAAAUAUAAUUAUGUAGAAUUAUUGGACGAAUUGAGGUGUAACAAAAUUGAGGUUGGUUUUUUAUGCCCUCUAAACGAUGGCUACAGUUCCACUGUGUGUUAUAGAGGUCUAGUGCUCUUGGAAGUGAUAAACUAUAAAUAAAAAGUACUGGAUUUUGACUUUAUGUUACCCUUUGUUGUAGGAACUAUGAUACAUUUGUUUACUGCUUUCUUUCUAUCUUCCUCCUUUUUCUUUGCUUAAACGGCUCUCUAACAGCCUAAAAACUGAUUGGUG